ensembl:misc_RNA Metazoa_SRP Metazoan signal recognition particle RNA
GCCAGGCAUGGUGGCUCAUGCCUGUAAUCCCAGCAUUUUGGGAGGCCGAGGUGGGCGGAUCACUUGAGGUCAGGAGUUCGAGACCAGCCUGGCCAACAUGGAGAGACCCCAUCUCUA